AAGAAAGAAAACAAAAUUGUGAUGUUUCUGAUUGGUGGUCCAAACUUUCCUGAGAACCACUGCAUUGAACAAGGAGAUGAUCUGAGACAGGUGAAACCAGUGGAAUGAAUGUUUAAGAAACCUGCAAGCUUGGGAAAAAAGGCCAGCAACUUGGAAAGAUUAAUCAAAAGGAUAUUUGGGAAGCUUAUCACCUCCACCUCUUGUUUGGUUUGUUUGUUUGUUUGUUUGUUUGUUUGUUUGUUUGUUUUUGAGACAGAGUCUCGCUCUCUCGCCCAGGCUUGAGUGCAGUAACAUGAUCUAGGCUCACUGCAGCCUCUGCCUCCCGGGUUCAAGGAUUCUCCUGCCUCAGCCUCCAGAGUAGCUGGGACUACAGGCACAUGCCACUGUGCCAGACUAAUUUUUGUAUUUUUCUUUUCUUUUUUAGUAGAGACAGGGUUUCACCAUGUUGGACAAGCUGGUCUCAAACUCUUGACCUCAGGUGAUCUGCCCGCCUUGGCCUCCCAAAGUGCUAGAAUUACAGGCAUGAGCCACCAAGCCCAGCCUCUCCUCCACCUCGUAAGUGUUUUCAAAGUAAAGCCAGAAUCCUCAACUGCUUCUGCCCCCAUGAAAUCAUUACCCUUCAAUGAGCCAAUUCAAAUGCUGCUUCUUUUGUGAAGCUUUCUGCCACCACCCUUCCCUCCCAGAAUGUUGUACUUUCCCUGAUCUGCUUCAUAACACCUCCUUCCAAGCACACAUAGGAUUUCACGCAUCCUCUAGUAGCUAGGUGGUACAGGUCUGAUUUCCCAUCAGACUGUGAGCUUUUUGAGGGCAUUCAUAAUGACCUUCUUUUCUGUAGUGCCUACAAUUACAGCAGAAAAGCAGCACUCAAAAUGUUUGUUGAAGCUCUCCAGUGAACUGGGGUUCUAAUUAUUGAGUGAAGAACUUGACACUAAGUGGCUGUUGCCUGCAUUAUCCCAACCCAUCUCUGCAGAGAGAUGGGAGCAGCAGAGGGCGCUGUCACUGCAGGUGUAGGGGCAUUUUUCCUCUCCAUGACAUGCCAGAUGGCCCCCCGGGGCCACAGCUCCACCGUAAGAGUCCCCAAUUUUGUUUUGUUUUUUUACAGUGAGGGUGUUCUAGAGGAAAGGGCUCAACGAAUCCAAUUGCAAUAGCUCCAGUUUGUGAUAAAGAUGACAAUUUUUUUUUAUUUGAGACAGAGUCUGGUUCUGUUGCCCAGGCUGGAGUGCAGUGGCACAGUGUUGACUCACUGCCACCUCCACCCCCGGGGAUUCAAGCAAUUAUCGUGUCUCAGCCUCCCGAGUAGCUGGGAUUACAGACCCCAACCUCCAGCUAACUUUUGUAUUUUCACCAUGUUGGCAAGGCUGGUUUUGAACCCCUGAUCUCAAGUCAUCCUCCUGCCUCAGCCUCUCAAAGUGCUGGGAUUACAGGCAUGAGCCACGGUGCCUGGGCUGACAAAUAUUUAUUAUUGAGUUUGUGGAACCCAGAAUGAUCUAGGGCCUCAGUGGCCACUGAACCCUGGGGCACACUUGAACAAAAAUAUGGGCUUCUCAGCCACUAUGCCUUGACAUCCUCUCUAAUCAGAAGUUUGUGUAAUAAGUGCAAAAGACAAUAUUCACAGUGACAAUGAUACUGUGAACUGCCAUAGGGAGAGUAGACAUGACUGUGGUGACAAUGCAGCGGCAGCAGGACCCUGUCCUCUCAUAAGUGGGCAUCCUUUCCCCAUGUGAACACCACAUAGCAGAAACGCCCAUCUUCCAAAGCCCUUUUAUCAUGUUAUGAAUUAUUUACACUUCCAUAUAUUUCAGUUAAAGAGUGGUAAUCAGAUCUGUAUGGAUGCCACUUGGGUCAUUUGUCAUUUCACUUGAAGGCAAAGAAAUGUUUUUAACUGGUAAGUACAACCUUAUCAUAAAAGUCUAUUUUCUGUAAGAAAUACUGAAAAUAUAUUAAAGACCUCCCUUAGUGCCCUUCAGGACACAUAAGAAUCCUAAUAUACCAGGUUGGGAACCAUUGCUAUAGGAUUUGAAAGGAAUAGUAAAUAGUAUUAUCUGAAAGUGAAGAGGAAGAAGAGAUUCUACUUAAAAAUAUUUGUUAAAUGACUGAAAGAAAUAAAUCUAUGAAGUCGUUUAGAACAUGGUCCUUUAGGGAAAGACCUGCCUGCUGUAGAUUCCAUUCACAUUUUAUACGUUUGUAAUGCCUUACAAAGCUAGUCUUUGCACUUAAAGCUACUGCUAACUGAGCAAUAGAAUCACACCUCAUAAGGCUUAAACUGUGUAUUUAAAGGUUUUGAUAGGGGAUCCAGAAAUCUGAGUGAAACCCUGGGUUCUGCAGGUACACAUGGCUCAUGUAUAAGGCAUUUGAAGGGCUUGUGGCCUUGAUGGGGAACACUGUCAACUCUGAUCCUGUUUGUCUGAGGUUACUUGGGGUACAAGAUGAAGACAGAAGGGCGUGCCUCCCUUCUGGAACCAUCACGGCCAGCAGCCGCAUGUUGGGCAGCUGCUGAUACUCAGGGUGCCCAGGCGGGAGAUGGUGAGAGGCCAGCCCUAGCCAAAUUCCUUGCUGCUGCCAGAGGAAGCAGUCUUGCCAUGUGUGUCCACAGGGAUAAGAUUAGCUGCCGAGGUGGAGCUGAUAUCUGAGCGAGGCUCUCGAGGACACAUUCUGGAUAGAUCUCCAUAUGGGAGUUGGAUGACUGCCACCAGCCAGUCUUGGCAGUCCCCAGAAUUCUUCUGAAGUGGACAGUGGAAGAAGUGAAACAUUUGCCUGGCAGCUGGCAUCAAUGCAGUCUCUCUCUGGACAUGCAGAAGAAAAGGUUCAAAAGGAACUGAACCCAAACCAGUCUUUAUUUGAUUUUAGAUGGAAUUAAAACAUUUUUGUGGGUCUCGACAAGUAUUGCCAGCACUGCACCUGCCACCCUGAUAGUUAUUAAUUACCAAUUUACUUUGUGUGUGUGAGAGACGGGUCUCGCUCUGUCACCCAGGCUGGAGUGCAGUGGUGCGAUUCCGGCUCACUGCAACCUCCACCUCCCGGGCUCAAGCGAUUCUGCCACCUCAGCCUCUGAAGUAGCUGGGACUGCAGAUGUGCGCCACCAUGCCCAGCUAAUUUUUGUACUUUUUGUAGAGACGAGGUUACGCCAUGUUGGCCAGGCUGGUCUCCAACUCCUGAACUCAACCUAUCCUCUCACUGCAGCCUCUCAAGGUGGUGGGAUUACAGGCAUGAGCCACUACACCCCACCUGUUAAUUGCGUCUUUAUCUCAGUAGGUUGAAGUAUAUUUAUACAGCCUCUGCUCUGUGUCAAGUACUGAGCUGAGCUCAGCAGUUGCAAUGGCAGGAACACAGACCCAGCCCUAUUCCUUAUAUGGCUGACUCUCUAGUGGGAAAUAUGGACAUUAAACAAACGACCACCUAAAUAUAACACUGCAAACUGGAGUUCAUGGCAUGAACCAUGGAAUGCUAUCAAAGCACUGGGAUCCCAAUCUAAUCUGGGCAUCAGAGAAAGCUUCCCUGAGGAAUUAAAAUUUGGAUGAGGUCUCAAUAAUUAGUUGAUGAAUUAGGCAAACAGUGGGAGCAAGGAUGUUCCAGGCAGAGGCCAACUACAUGGGUCAGGUGCACAGGACAUAAACCGAGCCAUCAAGAAGCUUCCAAUGUGAAAAGAGAAUAAACCCAUAGAGACAAGCAAUGAAGUGCUGCCAUGAGACAGAUGUGUGGAGCAUUUGAACAAUGGGAAAGUGCUGCUAGGAGAGAGGUGGUGUUCAAUUCAAUGAAAGCAAUGUAGGAUGAGAUCUGUAAGGAAGACUAGAUAAGCCAAGAGGCAUGCAGAGGAUCUUAUCCAUUUUAGAGCCCUGGGGGCUAUUUACUGGAGUAGCUGAAGAUAGCACCGUGGACACAGGCUGAAAAGGAAGGAAUUGCUAUGAGCUCCAUGUGAGGCAUCAUAGAUGAGACCUAUGGAGCUAUCCAAGAUCAUAUCCUGACACAGUGGUCAAAAUAAAGAAGCAAGUGUGAGCAGUGGUGAGGUGAUGGCUCAUUUAAAGAAAAGCCAUGCCCUGCAGACUGGUCCCAAGCUGGAGACCCCUUUCUCUAAUUGUCUGAAGAAUCCCUUUGGCAGGCUGUGUAAUACGCAUGACUCCAAUCUCUUGAAGUCUCUAGAUGGAGGCCACAUCCCAUUGCCUUUACAAAACAUCCUCUUUAUCCAUGGAUGUUGAUACUUGAGAACUUAACAGAAAGAACUUCAUUCCUUCUGUGAAGAUCAGUGAAGCUCAUAUUAUUAUCUGACUACAGAACUGCUCAAUGUUCAUCCCAAAAAAGUAAGACUCCCUUAAAUAUCUGCAUAAGAUUCAUUUUCUGUGUUUUAUUUUCCUAAUUUUCUUCAAAGAAGAUGUGUUACUUUUGUUAAUAAAAUAUUAAAAAUGUAAACCAUGGAAUCAGGGAAGGAAAAUGGCAGAUAGGAGGCAGGACUAAAUUACAGCUGACACUCAGAGGGACAGAGCAGCAUGUGGAGACUCACGUUGUGAAUUUUUGCUCCAGAACUACUACUGCAGGAUUAUACCAGGAAAGCCAAGAGAAUCCACAGACCCUCUGAAGGAAGUGGAUAGCUCCUGCAGGACCCAGGAGACAGCCCAAAUACUACACAGCAAGAAGGUGCAAUCUAUGAACCAGAAAGUGGGCCCUCACCAGACACUGAAUCAGCUGUUUGUGUCUAGUGUCUUGACCUUGGACUUCCCAGCCACCAGAACUGCCAGAAAUAAAUUUCUAUUUUUUAUUAGUUAAAAAAAAGUAAGCCAUGUAGAUUAUUCAUUAACAUAUGAAGCAAAAUGGAAUCAUAAAAAUGAAACAUUCAUUACAAUUUUUUGGAAACUGCUAUUUGUUUUGUUUUGUUUUUGAGACUAAGCCUCGCUGUGUUGCUCAGGCUGGAGUGCACUGGCUGUUCACAGAUGUGACCAUGGCACGCUGCAUCUCAAACUCCUGGCCUCAAGUGAUCCUCCUGCCUCAGUCUCCUGAAGAGUUGGGACUACAGGGGUGUACCACCACACCCAGCCUUGUUUGUUUUUGAAGAUAAGAUCCAUAUCUGAAUUUUUUAAAUCAGUGACUGAGCAACAUAAAACAUGAGGAUUUCCCAGAUUGCCCUUCUUUUGUUGAAAAUAUUAAAAAGUGAUCUUAAAUGUAUGGAUACAUAUAAAACACUAAGAUUUCUCCAUUUGGUUUAUGUACUUCAUAAUAGCUUGUGACAUGCUCAAAAUAACAUGAUUUUUUUCAAUUAUUUCUUUUGCUCUUUUAAAAAUCACAUUUUAUUGAAUUUAUUCAUUCAUUCAUUUUGAACACCUAACAUAUACUAACAAAUGUGCCAAGUCCAGAAGAUUCAAGGCUGAAUCAGAGGACAUCCUUGACUUUAAAAAGCUGACAGACUAGAAGAGCCAAGCCUACAUGAAAAUAAAUAAAUGCAAUACGGACCAAAAGCACAAUUAUCGAAAUAUGUGCAGGGUAGAGGUGCUGAGCAGUGGGAAGAUACAGAAUAACUAAUGCCUGUUAGCUGCUUCUGUAUGUAUGCCAGGUAGUGUUCUAAGUGCUUUACUUACAUAUAUUAGCUCAUCGCCAACCUGUGAUCGUUUCCAUUAUCAUAUUGUUACACUCAUUUUAUAGAUGAGGGACUGAGACAAAGAGUGGUUGCCUAGCUUGCCCAAAGUCACUCAGCUAUACUGAGUGGCAGAACCAGGAUUUAAAUAAUAUGAACUCUGUGCUCUCAACCUCUACACAUUUGCUGUCCAGACUGUCCAGCAGACUGUCUAGGAAGAAAUGCAAAGCACUUUAAGCAGAGAGGGCAGCUUGGGCAAGGGCACUAGUGCAGGAAAGACACAAGCACCUUGUGGAGUCAAGCAGAUAGGAUACCAGAAGGCUGAGGAAUAUGCCACAUCAUAGGGAGGCUUGGAUCAGUUUUGGUAGACAAUGAGAGGACAUUGAAGGAUUUUAGUCAGAGGAGUGAUGGGGCAGAUCUGUUUCUUAAAAAGAUUAUUUUGACUGUGUUAGGGAGGAUGUGCUGCAGAGGAUCUGGAUGCAGGUGGGGAAGGGAGGAUGUGUUGCAGGAGGAUGUGUUGCAGAGGGAGGAUGUGCUGCAGAGGGUCUGGAUGCAGGUGGGGGAACCCCCUUUAGAGACGACUUCUCCCAGGUAAGAAAAGGCUGUAGCAGUGGAGUUGGAGAGAGAAGAAUGGACCAGAGCUAUUUUAAGGAAGACUAGGCCAGUGCUGGUUUUGAUUAGUGGAUGUCAAACUUAGUGGUCGUUUGGUAUUUUUACACGAAACCUUCAACAGAAUCAACAGUGUGCUUCAUGAAGGCAGAGCCCAGAUUUGUUUUUCUCGCCGUUGUACUCCCAAGACUUGGUAAUGUGCUCAGGAAAUGCUUAUUGAUUGAAUGAGUUAAUGAAUAAGUGAAUAAACCAAGAAGUAAAUAAAAAAAAGAAUGAAUCAAAGAAAUGACUCAGUAUUGGAUUAGACCAAGUGCAUAAGAGAAGAAGUUAAUGGACUCUCAAAUGACUUGCCGAAAAGAUUAAGUCAAUUUCUCUUUUCUUAUGCAAUACAUUUUGUGUCCAGGCCUUUCUUAUGAGUAUUGUGUGUGGAACAUAAAGCAACCAACUUAGCUCCACGAUUUAGCUAUUGGGAGACCCAUGAAAGAGCCUACCCAGCCCUGCCUGCCUCUGGGGGUCUCGGUCAUGUCAUGUGACUACAUCGCUUGGCUCUGUUUCCAAGUUCCCCACCUCUAACCUCUCUGGAGCUCACAUUCAUCUUUCAAAAACAUCACUUCUGUUAUAUCACCCAUCACUCACUCCCUUCACUACACAUCUCUUUGCCCUGCUUUAGUUUUCAUCUGAGCACUUACUGUUUCCUGACAUUAUGUCAUUCAUUCAUUCAUUCAUUUAUUCAUUUUAUUUGGUUCUAUCUCUCUGUUAGUUUCCUAUUGCUGCAGUAGCAAAUUACCAUAAACUUAGUGGCUGAAAACAGAUUUAUCUUGCAGUUCUUGAGGACAGAAAUCUGAAAUGGGCCUCACUGAGAUAAAGUCACUGUGGCCAGGGCUGCAUUAUUUCUGGAAGCUCCAGGGGACAAUCUGUUUCCUUACCUCUUUCAGCUUCUAGAGGCUGCCCUCAUUUCUUAUUUUGUGGACCCCUUUGAUCUUUAAAGCCAGCAAAGGCAGCUUGAGUCUUUCUCAUGAUGCUGUCUCUCUGGUCUCACUCUUCUGCCUUCCGCUUCCCCAUUCAAGGACUCUUGUGAUUAUAUUGGGCUUGCCUAGAUAAAGCAGGAUAAUCUUAUUUUAAGGUCAGCUGAUUAGCAACUUUAAUUCUAGCUGCAAUUUUAAUUCCCCCUUGCCAUGUAACAACAUAUUUAUAGAUUACAAGGAUUAGGAUGUGGAUGUAUUUUUUUUUUUUUUUUUUGAGACGGUGUCUUGCUCUGUCACCCAGGCUGGAGUGCAGUGGCACAAUCUCGGCUCACUGAAACCUCCACCUCCCGAGUUCAAGCAAUUCUCCUGCCUCAGUCUCCCAAGUAGCUGGGAUUACAGGCAUGCGCCACCAAACCCAGCUAAUUUUUGUAUUUUUAGUAGAGACAGGGUUUCACCAUGUUGGCAGGCUGAUCUUGAACUCCUGACCUUGUGAUCCACCCGCCUCGGCCUCCCAAAGUGCUGGGAUUACAGGCAUGAGCCACCGCACCUGGCCCAGGAUAUGGAUGUCUUUGAGGGGCCAUUUCCUGCUUAGCACAAUCUGCCUCUUAUAGAAUUUAAGUCUCUUGAGAGCAAAACUUUAUCUACUUUGCUCUCUACAGUACAGCCAUUGAUUAGAAGAGGGCCAGUAUAUUGUAAGCAUGCAGUAAAUAUGUUUUGAAUAAAUCAGCAAAUCUUGUCCUUCUUUUUCACAAUCCAUCUCAUACCAAGGCAGAAUAAUUUUCCUUCAUAUCAGCAUGGAUCAUAAUAUACUCUUUGAUAUGGUUUGGCUGUAUUCCCACCCAAAUCUUAUCUUGAAUUGUAGUUCCCAUAAUCCCCAUAUGUCAUGGGAGAGAGCCGGUGGGAGGUAAUGAAUCAUGAGAGAGGUUACCCUCAUGCUGCUGUUCUCAUAAUAGUGAGUGAGUUCUUACAAGAUCUGACGAUUUUAUAAGGGGCUUCCCACCUUUUGCUCUGCACUUCUCUUUCCUGCUGCCAUGUGAAGAAGUACGUGUUUGCUUCCCCUUCUGCCAUGAUUGUAAGUUUCCUGAGGCCUCCCCAGCACUGUGGAACUGUGAGUC
rnacentral:lncRNA from 1 species